UCAUAUUGAAGGACCACAACUCAUUUUAGCCACAGUUAUGUCAUUUUGCAAAGAAGCUCAGUUCAGAGAAGGGCCCCCGGAAUGCUGAGCAAGGCAGGAUACCUGAGGUCAGAACGAGGACAGCCUUAUUAGGCUGCAGUACAGAGGAUUUAUGGUCAGACACCUGGUGAGAUACCCAGGACAGCCUUAUCAGGCUGCAGGACAGGGAAUUUAUGGUCAAGACAUCUGGCCUAGGGGGAAAUAAAGACUUCAAAAGACUGACCAUAUAUGCUUGAGAUAGGGACAGGUCAGUUAUCUGGUUUCUUUGAUCCAGGCCAAGGACCACGAGGCCUGCCCUCAAAUUCACCCCUCGCCUCAUUCAAACUGGCCAAUGGGACCCCUGUAACCGCGCUUUUGCUUCUGUAACAUUGCUUCUGCCUAUAUAAAGAUACCCCAAGAAGUAGCUCGGGGUGCUCAGUUCUCCAUGUGACUGCAGCACCCACAGGCCUGUGAACAUUAAAGUUUGCCUCUUGUUCUUGCAUCCAGUGGCUCUCGGACCUGGUUCUUGGGCACGGGUCUCCACGCAUGUGAGACACCCUCCGGGUGCUCUUUCAUUUGGUGUCAGAAGUGGGAUUGUGGAAGAUCUCUGCCCAACCCAUCCGACAACCCACUGGGAGGUAAGCUGGCUAGCCACUAUUUGUCCUUGUCUGUUUGCUGUCUUGAUGUAUUAAUUUGAUGUAAUGCGCAAGCGUUUGUAUUCCGUAGACCUGGAUCCACGGUCAUCUGUAUUCUGGGCGGCUUUGAGGAGGAGCUGACGGGCUCUGAACUUCUCACCAGCUACCCUGGGGGACGCCCCAGGGAUCUGGAGAGCCCGAGGGGCUCAGCACGAAUCCUAGAAAUUCGUGCCUCUGUAGGGUGAAGUUUUCACUUCCCCAUCUGAAUUUGUACUUUCGGUUUGCUGCAGCCAUCUGAAUUUGUACUUUCGGUUUGUCACCGAAGUUGCGCUUUGCGUUGCCGGCUGUCUGUUCUGUCUUUGUCAUGUCUUUGUUUUUGUAUUUUGUUUCGUUUCUGUUUGUACUCGAGUCUAAACCUGGUACCAUGGGACAGUAAACAGUAUGCUACAGGUGUAAUAGAAGGUCCCAAUUGAUGUCCUAAGACCCCAAGGGCAUAUCCCUCCUUCUCUGCUACAUAAAGAGAAAAAGGGCAAGUGAAAUCUGGAAGAAGAAGACCUGAAGCCUGGAUAAGUGCCUGUUGGAGUCUCUGGAAGGGUUUGGUAACAGGAUGGAGAAGGGGCUCAUGCAGAGAGCCGAGAGCUGCUUCAUAUAGGAGCUGGAUGGAGACCUGCUGACAGAAGAGGGAGAAGGGUGUUUAGGCCAGAAGAGGGCACCAGACCUCAUUACAGAUGGUUGUGAGCCACCAUGUGGUUGCCGGGAAUUGAACUCAGGACCUUUGGAAGAGCAGGCAAUGGUCUCAGCCACUGAGCCAUCUCUCCAGCCCCAAUAAUGUUCUUUCCUGCAGAAUCGAAAGAUAACAGCGAGGGUCCCAUGUAGUCCAGACUGACCUCAUACUCACUACAGAGCCAAAGUUGUUCAUGAACUUCUGAUCUUCCCACUUACCCUUCCGUGUGCUGGGAUUACAGGUGCAGAUGAGGAGACUAAAGCUAAACAAGUCAAAUAGCUUGGCUACGUUCACCUAAGCAGUCACAGAACAGCUCUGGCAUGAUCCAGUCUGACUCCAGAAUCUUUGUAUUCUUCUAAGAAUUAAACCAAUGAGCUAUAGCUGUCAACAGAAAGAGGAUAUUUUGUUCUCUUAAUUACUGAGCCAUCUCUCCAGGCCCCAAAUUUGGAGGAUAUGGUAGCACCUGGGAGGCCACAGUAAGAGGAUUUGCAAAUUGAAGACCAGCUUGGGCUACCUUGUUGCAAACAAAACAAAUGGCACUUAAUUAUCACCAAUGAUCAUUUUGAAUUUUGCUGUGCUUUGAAAGAAUGUACUACAACUGCUGUUCGGUCCUUUCCUUUUGGUCUGAAGAACAUAAGUUUGUUCUCAGCUAUCUCAACAUCACCAUGCCCUCCUGCUUGCUGCCAUACUGCCAUGAUGAUAAUGAGUUACACCUCUGAAACUGACAUCAGAAGUUCCAUGUGACCAGGGAAAUGUCAGACGUUUGUUGUGGCUCCUGGCAGGAGUGUACACCCUCACCUGGAAUAAAAUCUCCUAGGCCAGCAUAACUUAAGGUCAUGAAAACAGGAAGCAAAAUUUUUCUUGGUGGGUCACUAGGGAUGAUAGUGACUGAAACUAUUCCCUUUUCCACUCCUUGAUUCCUAAACCCUUGGAUCCUGGCUAUGGGAGAAACAGCACCACAUAUUGGACACUUAUUCAAAGUACAUACUGGAGAAUCUUGCCCCAACCCUACAGGCUGAUGCCAUCUAAUUGCACUGUAACUGUGUCUUCCAAAGGCCAUUCCAUCUCUCUAUCAACAAACUGCUUCAGGAUGGUGGGGAACAUGGUAAGUCCAGUGGAUUUCAUGAUCAUGGGUUCACUGUCACACUUCUCUGGCUGUGAAGUGAGUUCCUUGGUCAGAAGCAAUACUGUGAGGAAUACCAUGAUGGUAGAUAAGGCAUUCUGUUAGUCCACGGAUGGUGGUUUUGGCAGAAGCAUUAAAUAGAGGAAAUGCAAAUCCAUAACCAGAAUAAGUAUCUGCUCCAGUAAGGACAAAGAGUUGUCCUUUUCACAGAGGAAGUUGGUCCAGUGCAAUCAACCUGGUCACUCCAGGGAAUGGUGCCUUAUCUGGUGCUCAACAUUGAUCUCUGCUUGGUACUCAGCAACAACUAUAGCCAGGUCAGCCUUGGUGAAUAGAAGUUCAUGUUGACAAGUCUGUGUGUAUCCCUCAUCUCUGCCUCAAUGGCCACUUUGUUCUUGGGUUCACUGGGCAAUGACAGGAAUGGCUGGGGAAAGAGGCUGACUGUCCUAAGAAUGGGUCAUUCUAUCUACUUGAUUAUUGAAUUUCUCUUCAGCUGAAGUCACCCUUUGAUGAAAACUUACAUGGGGCACAAAUAUUUCCACAUCCUCCACCUAUUUGGAGAGAUUUAUCCAUAUAUUUCUUCCUUAAAUGUCUUUCUCACUGAUUUUUCCAAUCAUGUUCUUUUCAAGUGCCUGACCAUCCAGCCAAUCCAUUAGAUAGAGACCAUGAAUGAGUGAACAAUCACACAUCUGGCCAUUUCUCCUUCCAAACAAAAUGUAUGACCAUGUGUAAUACACAAAUUUCUGCCCACUAUGAAGAUUUCUCUUCACCUAUAUCUUUCAGAGUUGUUCCAGAAAGUAGCUAUAACACUACAGCUAUCCACUUUUGAGUGGUACCUGCAUUAACAUGUUGAAUCACAAGUAAACAGGCCCUAGUCUUCUCUUGCUCAGUCAACCAAUCUUAUGGAGGCAGAUGUCAUUGUAAUGGGAGUAGAAACCAUAGGCAUUUGGGCAACUUCUUCAUGUAACUUGAUUGUGCCUCUGGGAUUUGCUUGGACCUGGUAAUUUAUUCAUGUAUAUGUAUAUAUGAAUAUAUAUAAUUUUCAUUUGAUAAUAGAUUCUUGCUGUGCAUAUCCUGCUUUAUGACUUUGUGUGUCAGAUGACACACAGCUUACAAUGGGCAGCUCAGGUCACAUGGUAACUUGGUGCACCAGUGUCAAAAAUUCAGUUUCUACUCAGGUGUAUUAACAGAGCUGUCUCUCAAAAGGAGACUAGUUGUCUGUAGGCAAUAGUAGAACCUUUCUCCCAAAUCACAAAAGUCUCUUUUGUGGAAUAAUCUUUUUGAACACUGUGAAGAUGUGUUUUUGCCGAGGCAUUUUCUUAUUGGUUUAAUAAAAAGCUAAACAGCCAUUAGCUAGGCAGGAGGUAUAGGUGGGGCAGCCAGACACAGAGAAUGCUAGUAAGAAGACAGAUAGGGUUGUCAGGAGAUGCAGAGGGAGCAAGGUGUACUGGAGGACAGGUAAAGCAACAAGCUAUGUAGCAAUAUGUAGAUUGAUAAAAAUGGAUUAAGUAGUAAGGGUUAAUUAGUAACAAGUCUAAGAUAUUGGCCAUUCUUUUAAAAUUAAGACGAUGUCUCUGUAUUAUUACUGGGGAGCUGGCAGUCCAGAUGAAAAGAACCCAAUGAAAAGGUCCUGGUGAUCCUGAUGAAAAAGUCCAACUACAGUCUCUGCUAUUAUCCAUUCACCUAUAGGAGCAUGCCAAAAGCUCCAAAUAGCCUGCCUGUCUGCCACUGACACAUCAACUACCAUCACUACCAUCAGGUCUGCUGGAUCAUAUGGUCUAAGUAGUAGAGCAAUCUACACAGCAGCUUGGACCUGUUGAAGAUUCUUUUCUUGUUUUUGGUUCUACACAAAGCUUGCAGCUUUCUGAGUUGCUUGGUAUAUAGGCCUAAGUAACACACCCAAGUGAGGCAUGUACCAUCUCUAGAAUCCCAAAAGGCCCACUAAAUAUUGUGCUUCUUUCAUGGUGAUGAGAGGAGCCUGGUGCAAUAACUUAUCCUUCACUUUGGAAGAAAUAUCUCCACGUGCCCCAUACCACUGGACUCCAAAGAAUUUCACUGAGGCAGAAGGUCCUUGAAUUUUGUUUGGAUUUAUUCCCCAUAUUCUGAUGUGCAUGUGUAUAAUCAGCGAGUUCAGAGUGGUUGCUAUCUGCUCACUUGAUCCAAUCAACAUAUUAUUUUUCAAUAUAGUGCACCCAUGUAAUAUUGGAAAAGACAGAUGGUCGAGAUUCCUUGUUAAGCUAUGACACAGGGCUUUAGGAUUAAUAUAUCCUUAAGACAAAAUUGUAAAGGUAUACUUCUGGUUUUUCCAAUGGAAAGCAAAUUGUUUCUGUUGCAUAUCAUGUACCAGGACAUGUGUUAAUCUGCUCAAUUAAGAACACUAUGCCUGGCUGAGCAGUGGUGGCACAUACCUUUAAUUCCAGUACUCGGGAGGCAGAGACAGGCAGAUCUCUGUGAGUUCGA